GUAAACGGCGGCGUUAGCGUGAGCGUCUUAAGGUAGCAUGAUAAGUUGCCCUUUAAUUGGGGGCUGGUAUGAAUGGGUUAACGUGGGAGAUUCUGUGUCAUAGAGUAGUCUUUGAAAUUAACUUUAAGGUGAAGAGGCCUUUAUUGAAAAGAAGGACGACAAGACCCUAUGAAGCUUUAUCUUUACUGGACACUUAAAAGUUUUGGGUUGGAUUUUAAUGGGAGAUUAAUAAAAAUAAGUUUUUUAUAAUAAUAUAAAUCUAACUAGAACUAUCUAUGAUUAUAGAUAUGAUUAGCUACUCUAGGGAUAACAGCGCAAUCUUUCUCGAGAGAUGGUAUUGGAAGAAAGGCUUGCGACCUCGAUGUUGGCUUUAGAUACCCUGAAGGUGUAGAGACUUUCAAAGGUGGGUCUGUUCGCCCUUUAAAAUCUAACAUGAUCUGAGUUUCAGACCGG
rnacentral:rRNA from 1 species